GCAUAACGCGAAGAACCUUACCAAGGUUUGACAUCCCCUUGACAGAAGCAGAGAUGUUUUCUCCCCUUCGGGGCAAGGGAGACAGGUGGUGCAUGGUUGUCGUCAGCUCGUGUCGUGAGAUGUUGGGUUAAGUCCCGCAACGAGCGCAACCCUUAUCCUUAGUUGCCAGCACAUAAUGGUGGGCACUCUAAGGAGACUGCCGAUGAUAAAUCGGAGGAAGGUGGGGAUGACGUCAAAUCAUCAUGCCCCUUAUAUCUUGGGCUACACACGUGCUACAGUGGCAGUUAACAACGGGAAGCAAAGCCGCGAGGUGGAGCCAAUCCCCAAAAACUGUCCCAGUUCGGAUUGCAGGCUGAAACUCGCCUGCAUGAAGUCGGAAUUGCUAGUAAUCGCGGAUCAGCAUGCCGCGGUGAAUACGUUCCCGGGUCUUGUACACACCG
rnacentral:rRNA from 1 species